rnacentral:lncRNA from 1 species
AAAGGGGGAGAGCUUCUGGAAGUUUUUUUUUGUUUUUUUUUUAAAAUAGGUUUCAAAUGAAAUUUUUUGAAGAAUGGGGGGUAUUUAUAGGGCAUCAAAACGGCGUCGUUUUGGAAAGCCCCCAGACGUCCAAAACGGCGUCGUUUUGAGUAACCGACCCGACUCCGACCCGAUCCACUUUAGGAUCCGCGUGUUUUUGAGCGGAGGGGCAAAUUGCGCUUUUAGCCCCUCCGCCUUUUAACAUAUUUCCAAUUAAGUUUUUUUUUGUUUUUUAAUUCGGCCUUUAAAUUAUUUUAAAUUCC